GUAACUUGUCGGUGAUGUGCUCUAUUAAUCUAUUCCGUGUAUAUGUUGGAUAACUUUAAUGUUUUUCAUCAACUUACAGUCAGAGGAAUCGUGAAAGUCGUGUAGCCUACCGUCAACUAUUCUGUUCAAACUCAUUGUAUUCUACUGAAUGUGUCAUCGAAAUGAUAUAGAUCACCGACCCCAACAUGGACUCUCAUUCCAUCUUCUAGAGAAUCUUUGAUAACUGAUUGGUGGUUUCAUGUGUUUCGAAAUUGGCAUGACUGACGCUGUAUGAGA